rnacentral:rRNA from 1 species
CGGUUCACUUUAACACUGAGGCGUGACGACGAGGCACUACGGUGCUGAAGCAACAAAUGCCCUGCUUCCAGGAAAAGCCUCUAAGCAUCAGGUAACAUCAAAUCGUACCCCAAACCGACACAGGUGGUCAGGUAGAGAAUACCAAGGCGCUUGAGAGAACUCGGGUGAAGGAACUAGGCAAAAUGGUGCCGUAACUUCGGGAGAAGGCACGCUGACAUGUAGGUGAAGUGAUUUACUCAUGGAGCUGAAGUCAGUCGAAGAUACCAGCUGGCUGCAACUGUUUAUUAAAAACACAGCACUGUGCAAACACGAAAGUGGACGUAUACGGUGUGACGCCUGCCCGGUGCCGGAAGGUUAAUUGAUGGGGUCAGCGCAAGCGAAGCUCCUGAUCGAAGCCCCGGUAAACGGCGGCCGUAACUAUAACGGUCCUAAGGUAGCGAAAUUCCUUGUCGGGUAAGUUCCGACCUGCACGAAUGGCGUAAUGAUGGCCAGGCUGUCUCCACCCGAGACUCAGUGAAAUUGAACUCGCUGUGAAGAUGCAGUGUACCCGCGGCAAGACGGAAAGACCCCGUGAACCUUUACUAUAGCUUGACACUGAACAUUGAGCCUUGAUGUGUAGGAUAGGUGGGAGGCUUUGAAGUGUGGACGCCAGUCUGCAUGGAGCCGACCUUGAAAUACCACCCUUUAAUGUUUGAUGUUCUAACGUGGACCCGUAAUCCGGGUUGCGGACAGUGUCUGGUGGGUAGUUUGACUGGGGCGGUCUCCUCCUAAAGAGUAACGGAGGAGCACGAAGGUUGGCUAAUCCUGGUCGGACAUCAGGAGGUUAGUGCAAUGGCAUAAGCCAGCUUGACUGCGAGCGUGACGGCGCGAGCAGGUGCGAAAGCAGGUCAUAGUGAUCCGGUGGUUCUGAAUGGAAGGGCCAUCGCUCAACGGAUAAAAGGUACUCCGGGGAUAACAGGCUGAUACCGCCCAAGAGUUCAUAUCGACGGCGGUGUUUGGCACCUCGAUGUCGGCUCAUCACAUCCUGGGGCUGAAGUAGGUCCCAAGGGUAUGGCUGUUCGCCAUUUAAAGUGGUACGCGAGCUGGGUUUAGAACGUCGUGAGACAGUUCGGUCCCUAUCUGCCGUGGGCGCUGGAGAACUGAGGGGGGCUGCUCCUAGUACGAGAGGACCGGAGUGGACGCAUCACUGGUGUUCGGGUUGUCAUGCCAAUGGCACUGCCCGGUAGCUAAAUGCGGAAGAGAUAAGUGCUGAAAGCAUCUAAGCACGAAACUUGCCCCGA